rnacentral:rRNA from 1 species
UGGGGAAUUUUGCGCAAUGGGGGCAACCCUGACGCAGCAACGCCGCGUGCGGGACGACGGCCUUCGGGUUGUAAACCGCUUUCAGCAGGGAAGAAAUUCGACGGUACCUGCAGAAGAAGCUCCGGCUAACUACGUGCCAGCAGCCGCGGUAAUACGUAGGGAGCGAGCGUUUUCCGGAUUCAUUGGGCGUAAAGAGCGCGUAGGCGGCCUCUCAAGCGGGAUCUCUAAUCCGAGGGCUCAACCCCCGGCCGGAUCCCGAACUGGGAGGCUCGAGUUCGGUAGAGGCAGGCGGAAUUCCCGGUGUAGCGGUGGAAUGCGCAGAUAUCGGGAAGAACACCGAUGGCGAAGGCAGCCUGCUGGGCCGCAACUGACGCUGAGGCGCGAAAGCUAGGGGAGCGAACAGG